GUGGGGAAUUUUGGACAAUGGGCGAAAGCCUGAUCCAGCCAUGCCGCGUGUGUGAAGAAGGUCUUCGGAUUGUAAAGCACUUUAAGUUGGGAGGAAGGGCAGUAAGUUAAUACCUUGCUGUUUUGACGUUACCAACAGAAUAAGCACCGGCUAACUUCGUGCCAGCAGCCGCGGUAAUACGAAGGGUGCAAGCGUUAAUCGGAAUUACUGGGCGUAAAGCGCGCGUAGGUGGUUUUGUAAGUUGGAGGUGAAAUCCCCGGGCUCAACCUGGGAACUGCUUUCAAAACUGCUGAGCUAGAGUACGGUAGAGGGUGGUGGAAUUUCCUGUGUAGCGGUGAAAUGCGUAGAUAUAGGAAGGAACACCAGUGGCGAAGGCGACCACCUGGACUGAUACUGACACUGAGGUGCGAAAGCGUGGGGAGCAAACAGGAUUAGAUACCCUAGUAGUCC
rnacentral:rRNA from 1 species